UUGCAUUUAAUAUAAACUUGGCCUCUAGAGGGCAAAGCGUAUUUGCCUAUACGUCUAGAGAUUACAGUUAUCUCUUGAUAACCUAUUAUAACAAACGCAAUGACAGCUUAUGUCAAUGGUGAGAUUUAAAGUCGAACGUUCUUAAGCAUAUGAGGAAAUGAUUGACGAGGUAUACUUGACAGAUACAGCAAGGGAACGCAGUUACUUAACAUCUUGAUGGAGUAAUAAAUGGGAUAAUUUUUUGUGUUAUAACAAAUAAACAGUUGUUGUGUUUUUUUCACGUGAUAACUGUUGGACAAUUUGUUUUUAUAAAUGGAACAUGUGAAUGGGUGUCAAAGAAUUGGUAAUUUAUAUUAUUUUCACAAUAUUUAAACAACCAACGGGGCCUUUAACAAUAAAUCUGUUCAUGUUUUGACCUUGAUUAGCAUUUUACCAAUCUUGAUAGAUAAAUGGACACGACUAGGAACAUACCAAACAAUAAAACGUCGUAUUCCGAAGUAAAUGAUAGUGUGCACUUUCAAAACGCUUCAAGACUAAAAAGAUCAUGGAAAGCCUGAAGCAGAAUAUCAGUGCAGAGUUUGGUGUCAUAGGAACAGACAAUGUGACAGUGGCAUCAACUAUAGACAAAAUUAACAAACUUAAUCUCGAGGAAGUGGUUCGUCUUAUCCCACUCAUAAUUUUCUUGUUGCUGAUUGUGCUAGCUGGGAUUCCUGGCAACGGCCUCGUUUGCUUCAUCUAUCGCAACGAGUAUUUCAUGUCCAGCUCCCGUUGGUUUAUCUUUUUCUUGGCCGCAGUGGACCUUCUGAUGUGUAUUUUGAUAAUUCCCAGCGAGAUUGCUACAACGUUCUUCCAGUACAAUUUUACCAGUACGGCGUCCUGCAAGAUCACCGCUUUCUUCAACCUGUGGAGCCUUCUGUCACUCGGUUUGACACUUCUUGCAGUCUCUGUGGAUAGAUACCGUAAGGUCUGCAAGCCUCUUGGCUGGCAAAUUAACUUCAACAAAGCCCGCAUUCUUAGCGUGGCGUGUGUCGGCCUCUCACUUUUAAUUUCUUUACCUGUGUUGUUGCUGUACAAUAUUCAUGAAAAACCAUUUAAAGCAUUUAACAUCACGGGUAAUGAAUGUUCUUUCCGGACAGACGGUGGGAUGAGCUGGACUUUUCUCUUUGUUAUGUUUGGUAUGACAUUGUUCGUCACCGCUCUGACAUCGAUCUGUAUACUAUACUGUUUCAUUGGCAAGGAAAUCAAACGGCAUAUUGACAAGGAAAGGAUCAAGAGGCACAUAAGCAUGACAGCCUCAAUGGCAUUUAAUACUAAUCUCCUUAUUCGUCCUAUAACGCAAGAAAUAACCGUCAAGUGUACCAAGAAAUCGGUAGGAUUUGCAACGUCCGUGUCAAUGAAACCUAAAAAAUCCGUGAAUUUUGGUGUUUUGAAUGUCGAACAAGCGUUGCAAAAAGAGAAACAUGGUCAUGUGAAUGGAAUACGUAGCGACAGGACUAUACAUGAUGUAGUACGAAAAACAAGAAUUAAAGAAAGUGCAGAGAACACCAAACAUGAAAACGAUAGGAGAAAGAACUUACCAGGGGCAACUGAAUCUGAUUGUAAAUCAUUUAAUAUGGCAUGUGAGUCAGAGUACAGGCCAUUAAAGAAUUCAAAAGAAACGGACGCAAAUAAGUGGAACGACAAUCACACGGAUAGAGACUCUUCUCAUUUAGAUGAUUCGUGCCUCCAGGCAUGCCCGUGUGAAAAACAGCAUGUUUCAUGUGAUUUAGCGGUGAACCCGGACAAUAAGGAUACACUUACUUUAAGCUCUGUUCCGACAUCUGAAAUCAACAGUAUGGAGGCUAGCAAUUUUAUGACAUCCAAGUGCGCGGAAACAGACGCUAUAAAUUCAAAUGAAACACCGAUUCACUCUGGUGAUCAACAACUUCAAGAAAAGCGUGAGAGCAUGUUAUCGCUCAAGGUUACGUCAUUGAGCCCAGAGGACGUUUCGACAGAAUACGAAGAAUCUUCUAGCAACGCCAACUUCGCAGACGAAGAAUCUAUGGACGAUCUGAAUUUGCCGCCAAAACGUACAAUGACUAUAAAGGAACGGAACAAGUCGAAACGAAUACGACGAGCUCGUGCGAAGAAGGCCACCCUCAGCAUGAUAAUGAUUUCCGUGGCUUUUGUCUUGAGUUAUCUCCCGUUUUUGUGCCUUCUAAUAAUGAAAAGCUUGCAUCCUAAGCUGGAGGAAUGGAUGACUGACGCUGGAAGGGCGACCUUUAAGUUCUUUUUGCGAUCUUUUUUCUUCAAUUGCGCGAUAAAUCCGUUUAUUUAUGGCAUUUCUGACUCCAAAUUUCGAAAGAGCUGCAAGGAGGUUAUUGACAAAGUUUUUGCUUGUCACAAACGCUAAUUCUUAGAUUUUCGUUUACUUUCCUGUGUGUUUCUAUGCAUAAUUGUAAUUGUAAGAAGGCUAUGAUUGCGCUCAGUGUACGUAUAUACGUUUUGCGUCGUCAUAAUAUCUGACUAGAAAUAUGUGUCGCGUUCUGAGAAAACUGGGCUUAAUGCAUGUGCGUAAAGUGUCAUCCCAGAUUAGCCUGUGCAGUUCGCACAUGCUAAUCAGGGACGACACUUUCCGCCUAAACUGGAUUUUUGCUAAGAAGAGACAUCAUUUAAACGAAAAAUGUCAUAAAAGCGGAAAGUGUCGUCCCUGAUUAGUCUGUGCAGUUCGCAAAGGCUAAUCUGGGACGACACUUAACGCACAUGCUUUAUGCCCAGUUUUCUCAGAAAACGACUCAUAUAGUCUGUAGCUUUUAUAUGUUUUUCCGAAAUAAUAUUUUGAUUUGAUAUUUAUAAAUGAGCUCAUGACUUUAUGUUAUGUUUUUGAACGCUUAAUAGAAUAAAAAAAAUGUUGAUUGGAUUUUUUUGUAACCUUGAGAUUAAUGUGUGCAUGCUGUAAAUAUUCGCUUCAUUAACAUUGUAUGUGAUACAUAAAAUUGUACAUAUUUUAUGCUUAAUAUUGUUUGAUAGACUAGUAGUUUGGUAGCAAAAUGUCAGUUGGUUCAAUAUUUCCCUGACUGAGUUGGAUAUGAAGAAAUAGCAUACUGUGUUGGAUAUGACUAUAUUACUGUGUUAAAAUUUUAGAAACACUAUAUACUAUUUGUAUUAUGACAAUGUUCUUGAAGCACACGUUUCGAAUCACAGAAAUACUUUAAAGUUAACGAUUGUGUUUAGUCAUUUAAAGCAAUAUAUUGCCGUUGACUUGACCGACAAGCAUGCAUACCUUGAAGAGUUAUUGUGUAGUUUUAUAUAGAAUUACACAAAGUUAAUAAUGAUAUAUAUUAGUUAUAGCAAUAUAUUACCGUUAUACAUGACUACUAAGCUUUUAUUAAUUAUCCCCCGCCAUAGGCGGAGGGAUAUUGUUUUGGCGUUGUCCGUCCGUCCUUCCGUCCCUCCGUCCGGAGCCAUAUCUUGGAAGUGUUUUGUCGGAUUUCAUUGAAACUUGGUAUGAGUAUAUAUAUGGAUAAGAGGAUGAUGCACGCCAACUAGCAUUGUACACCAUCUGUUAACAACGGAGUUAUGACCCUUUGUAUUUUGAAAAAAAAUGCUUUUGAAUAUAGCACUUUUGUGUCUGGAGCCAUAUCUUGGAAGUUCUUUGGUGGAUUUCAUUGAAUCUUUGUAUGAGUAUAUAUAUAUAUGGAUAAGAGGAUGAUGCAAGUCAAAUAGCAGUGUACACCAUCUGUUAAUAACGGAGUUAUGGCCCUUUGUAUCUUGAAAAAAUGCUUUUUAUUAUAAGCUUAGAGCUUUAUCUCCACUUAACACAUGAGCCAGAGCCAUGAAACUUGCCAUACUUGUUCUCAAUCAUCUGGGGAUGCUUCACAUUCAACACCCGUAAUCAUAGGGGCUAAGGUUAAAGUCACAAAUUUGAUGAAUUUUUCAUUAUUUAGUCAUUCCUUUACUAUGCAUCAUGGCAUUCUGUAAUAACUGUCUACAAUUGUUCUCCUUCAUCUAGCUGAGUGUCAAAUCUAAGAUCCAGGUUGCUAGGGUCAUGGUCAAAGUCACACACAAAGGUCAAAAUCACACAUUUUGAUUCAAUAUGCCUUAUUUGGUAAGGAAUCUACCAUACUAAAGUUCUACACCCAUCCCUAAACAAAAUUUAUUUGGCGGGGGAUAUCAAUUCAACGAAUGUGCUUGUUUGAAAUGUUAUUAUGUCGUUUUAUAUCGCAAC